GAUGAACGCUGGCGGCGUGCCUAAUACAUGCAAGUCGAGCGAACGGACGAGAAGCUUGCUUCUCUGAUGUUAGCGGCGGACGGGUGAGUAACACGUGGAUAACCUACCUAUAAGACUGGGAUAACUUCGGGAAACCGGAGCUAAUACCGGAUAAUAUUUUGAACCGCAUGGUUCAAAAGUGAAAGACGGUCUUGCUGUCACUUAUAGAUGGAUCCGCGCUGCAUUAGCUAGUUGGUAAGGUAACGGCUUACCAAGGCAACGAUGCAUAGCCGACCUGAGAGGGUGAUCGGCCACACUGGAACUGAGACACGGUCCAGACUCCUACGGGAGGCGGCAGUAGGGAAUCUUCCGCAAUGGGCGAAAGCCUGACGGAGCAACGCCGCGUGAGUGAUGAAGGUCUUCGGAUCGUAAAACUCUGUUAUUAGGGAAGAACAUAUGUGUAAGUAACUGUGCACAUCUUGACGGUACCUAAUCAGAAAGCCACGGCUAACUACGUGCCAGCAGCCGCGGUAAUACGUAGGUGGCAAGCGUUAUCCGGAAUUAUUGGGCGUAAAGCGCGCGUAGGCGGUUUUUUAAGUCUGAUGUGAAAGCCCACGGCUCAACCGUGGAGGGUCAUUGGAAACUGGAAAACUUGAGUGCAGAAGAGGAAAGUGGAAUUCCAUGUGUAGCGGUGAAAUGCGCAGAGAUAUGGAGGAACACCAGUGGCGAAGGCGACUUUCUGGUCUGUAACUGACGCUGAUGUGCGAAAGCGUGGGGAUCAAACAGGAUUAGAUACCCUGGUAGUCCACGCCGUAAACGAUGAGUGCUAAGUGUUAGGGGGUUUCCGCCCCUUAGUGCUGCAGCUAACGCAUUAAGCACUCCGCCUGGGGAGUACGACCGCAAGGUUGAAACUCAAAGGAAUUGACGGGGACCCGCACAAGCGGUGGAGCAUGUGGUUUAAUUCGAAGCAACGCGAAGAACCUUACCAAAUCUUGACAUCCUUUGACAACUCUAGAGAUAGAGCUUUCCCCUUCGGGGGACAAAGUGACAGGUGGUGCAUGGUUGUCGUCAGCUCGUGUCGUGAGAUGUUGGGUUAAGUCCCGCAACGAGCGCAACCCUUAAGCUUAGUUGCCAUCAUUAAGUUGGGCACUCUAAGUUGACUGCCGGUGACAAACCGGAGGAAGGUGGGGAUGACGUCAAAUCAUCAUGCCCCUUAUGAUUUGGGCUACACACGUGCUACAAUGGACAAUACGAAGGGCAGCGAAACCGCGAGGUCAAGCAAAUCCCAUAAAGUUGUUCUCAGUUCGGAUUGUAGUCUGCAACUCGACUACAUGAAGCUGGAAUCGCUAGUAAUCGUAGAUCAGCAUGCUACGGUGAAUACGUUCCCGGGUCU
rnacentral:rRNA from 1 species